GUCUACGACCGCACCACCCAGAACGUGCCCGAUCUCUCUGAUCUCGGCAGCUAAGCAGGCUCGGGCCUGGUUAGUACUUGGAUGGAGAAAAGCGAUACUGAGGAAACCACUUUUUUGCAGCAG
rnacentral:rRNA from 1 species